GGGCUGGGGCUCAGUGGUACAGUGCUUGCCUAGCAUGUGUGAGGCACUGGGUUCGAAUCUCAGCAUGGCUUA
rnacentral:tRNA from 1 species